rnacentral:rRNA from 1 species
GACGAACGCUGGCGGCGGGCUUAACACAUGCAAGUCGAACGAACGCCUUCGGGCGUUAGUGGCGCACGGGUGAGUAACACGUAGGCAAUCUACCCUCGGCUGGGGAAUAACCAGGGGAAACCCUGGCUAAUACCGCAUAACAUCUGGACGUCGCCUGGCGACCAGAUCAAAGCUUUAUGUGGCCGAGGAUGAGCCUGCGUCGGAUUAGCUAGUUGGUGGGGUAACGGCCUACCAAGGCGACGAUCCGUAGCGGGUCUGAGAGGAUGAUCCGCCACACUGGCACUGAGACACGGGCCAGACUCCUACGGGAGGCAGCAGUGAGGAAUAUUGCGCAAUGGACGAAAGUCUGACGCA